rnacentral:snRNA from 1 species
GGAUGUGAGGGCAAUCUGGCUUCAACAUCUAUCAUCCCAUAAAUUAAAAGGCUUGGUUCAGCUGAUCUGGCUGUCUAGGAGGGUGACCCAUUGCUCACAGCUCCAUACCCAAACGUCCCUCCUAGAGCUGUGUGCGAAGUGAAAGAGGACAUCUACACUGGAGAGAAGGGGACCAUUUCCUCAGUCAAGGUUAUGAGUAACUACUGUGCCCUGCUAGGACCUCCAAGCAAGUUGUCAAGGAGUCUGAUACUGAAAGAUUGUGCAAGUUGGAGGCCAGCCUGGGUUACAUAUCAAGACCCUUUCU